UCGAGGGUAGCUCAUGAAGGAUAUAGAAAUAAGUGUCCCUCUGAUCUGAAAUUAUCAUGGUGACUUGUAAGCAACUCACUAUACUUUGGUAUUGGACUAUCUGUAUUUCUAAUACAGUGACGGAAGGCUACUGGGUACAGUCAAGUACUUGUGAAGUCGGUAUGUGAGUCAAGAUAGGAUUGACCCCUUCAGAUUAUAGAAGUUAAUGCAUCACUGUAUUUCAAUCC
rnacentral:lncRNA from 1 species